rnacentral:rRNA from 1 species
UCGAGAAUAUUCCACAAUGGACGAAAGUCUGAUGGAGCGACACCGCGUGCAGGAAGAAGGCCUUCGGGUCGUAAACUGCCGUAGCUGGGGAAGAAUUUUCGUGACGGUACCCAGCGAACAGAGGUUGGUAACUACGUGCCAGCACCCGCGGUAAUACGUAGACCUCAAGCGUUAUCCGGAUUUAUUGGGCGUAAAGCGCGUGUAGGAGGUUCGGUGCGUCCCUGGUUAAAGCCCACUGCCUAACGGUGGAACUGCCGGGGAUACGAUCGAACUAGAGGAAGUUAGAGGCACAUGGAACGCACGGUGUAGGGGUGACAUCCGUUGAUAUCGUGCGGAACACCAAAGGCGAAGGCAGUGUGCUGGGACUUUCCUGACUCUGAGACGCGAAAGCGUGGGGAGC